rnacentral:rRNA from 1 species
CAAUAGCGUAUAUUAAAGUUGUUGCAGUUAAAAAGCUCGUAGUUGGAUUUCUGGUCGGAAGCUCCCGUCCUCUGAUGAGCGUACAAGUGCGUCCUACCAUCCUUCUGUUAACCUUUAAGGCUUUCGCGGCUUUCUAGGGGCUCAGAUAUUUUACCUUGAGAAAAUUAGAGUGUUUCAGGCAGGCUAGCGCCGGAAUACAUUAGCAUGGAAUAAUGGAAUAGGACUUUUGCCUCUUCUGUUGGUCAUGAGGCUCGAGUAAUGAUUAAUAGGGAUAGUUGGGGGCAUUAGUACUUAACUGUCAGAGGUGAAAUUCUCGGAUUUGUUAAAGACUAACUUAUGCGAAAGCAUUUGCCAAGGAUGUUUUCAUUA